CGGGGGGAGCAAGCGUUGUUCGGAUUUACUGGGCGUAAAGGGCGCGUAGGCGGUCAGCACAAGUCAGUUGUGAAAUCUCCGGGCUUAACUCGGAAAGGUCAACUGAUACUGUGCGACUAGAGUGCAGAAGGGGCAACUGGAAUUCUCGGUGUAGCGGUGAAAUGCGUAGAUAUCGAGAGGAACACCUGCGGCGAAGGCGGGUUGCUGGGCUGACACUGACGCUGAGGCGCGAAAGCCAGGGGAGCGAACGGGAUUAGAUACCCCGGUAGUCCUGGCCUUAAACGAUGGAUGCUUGGUGUCUGGAGUUAUAUAGUCUCCCGGUGCCGCAGCUAACGCGUUAAGCAUCCCGCCUGGGGAGUACGGUCGCAAGACUG
rnacentral:rRNA from 1 species